UACGGGGGGGGCAAGCGUUGUUCGGAAUUACUGGGCGUAAAGGGCUCGUAGGCGGCCAACUAAGUCGGAUGUGAAAUCCCCAGGCUUAACCUGGGAACUGCAUCCGAUACUGGAUGGCUUGAAUUCGGGAGAGGGAUGCGGAAUUCCAGGUGUAGCGGUGAAAUGCGUAGAUAUCUGGAGGAACACCGGUGGCGAAGGCGGCAUCCUGGACCAACACUGACACUGAGGAGCGAAAGCCAGGGGAGCAAACGGG
rnacentral:rRNA from 1 species